UACAGAGGUCUCAAGCGUUGUUCGGAUUCAUUGGGCGUAAAGCGCACGUAGGCGGUCUGUUAUGUCGGAUGUGAAAGCCCUUGGCUCAACUGAGGAGGUGCAUCCGAAACUGGCAGGCUGGAGUACGUAAGAGGGUCGCGGAAUUCCCGGUGUAGAGGUGAAAUUCGUAGAUAUCGGGAGGAACACCGGUGGCGAAGGCGGCGACCUGGGACGAUACUGACGCUGAGGUGCGAAAGCGUGGGGAGCAAACAGG
rnacentral:rRNA from 1 species